AAGAGAAAUAGAAAUAGAAAAAGAAAAAAAAAAAAAAGGAAAAGUCGAGAGGGGCAAAUAGGUAAAUUUGCCCCUCCAACCACCUAAGGGGUCCAAACGAAACCCCAUCCAUAGUCCUGCAAAAGAGAGAUAGUGAGAGAAAGGGAUAGAGAGAACUUAGAGAGAGGAGAAAGGAUGAACCGCCGGAAGACUCACCAAAAACUACCGUCGGAGUCUAUUCCGGUGAAGAUCAUGAUGCAAGGAAGUGGAGAUCAUGCAGAGAGACUUUCUUGGAAGGGAAAAGAGAAUGUGGGUGGCCGAAGUCCCAUUUUUCAUCAAGAAGUCGGAAAACCCGCAAGGAACAACUCUACGCGUGAUCUAUGAAGAAGUUUGGCCGAGACCUCAACCCGAAGGUGGAGAUCCGAGAGUCGUCCGAAAACGGGACCUAAUUUAAAGAAAUCAGUACUUUUGGACACCUCACGGGCAAGAAACGCUAGCAAAAAGGGCACGCGUUAACCAGGUAAGUCACCACCCGGUAUUUAGGAAGAAAUACUUGUAGGGUUCGCUUGGAUUGUAUGUAUGCAUGUUAGUAAUUUUGCCUUAAAUUAGCUCUCCAUGAAUGAGAUUAAUCAGAUGGAUUGUUAUGAUGUGUUGGGUGAAUUAUCUGAGUGUUGCUUGUAUGCCUUAAGCUUCCGUUGUACGUAUGCAUGCGUUUAAUUUAUGUUGGAAUUGUGUAUUCCGUGUUCCGGGUGCUCGAUGGAUGAAUUCGCCUCAUUGAGCGCGAACUUCGUGUUUUGGGUGCUGGAUGGAGGUCAUCGCC